rnacentral:rRNA from 1 species
AGCGAACGCUGGCGGCAGGCCUAACACAUGCAAGUCGAACGAAGUCUUCGGACUUAGUGGCGGACGGGUGAGUAACACGUGGGAACGUGCCUUUAGGUUCGGAAUAACUCAGGGAAACUCGUGCUAAUACCGAAUGUGCCCUUCGGGGGAAAGAUUUAUCGCCUUUAGAGCGGCCCGCGUCUGAUUAGCUAGUUGGUGAGGUAAAGGCUCACCAAGGCUACGAUCAGUAGCUGGUCUGAGAGGAUGACCAGCCACAUUGGGACUGAGACACGGCCCAAGCUCCUACGGGAGGCAGCAGUGGGGAAUCUUGCGCAAUGGGCGAAAGCCUGACGCAGCCAUGCCGCGUGGAUGAUGAAGGUCUUAGGAUUGUAAAAUCCUUUCACAGGUGAAGAUAAUGACUGUAGCCGGAGAAGAAGCCCCGGCUAACUUCGUGCCAGCCGCCGCAGUAAGAC